GUGCUCUCCUCGACGGUAUUUUAAGGGUCUGAUUAGUUAGCCCUCACGAUAGACAUCAUAUGCUUGCGGUAUCUUAUGCCUAUGGCAUCUUAUGCUCUUCUUAUCUUCGCACAAGAAGCAGCAUGUGCCUGUGGCAUCUUGUGCCUAUGGCAUCUUGUGCUCUCUUCGAUGAUAUUUUGAGGGUCUGAUUAGUUAGCUCUCAUAAGAGGCAUCGUGUGCUUACGGUAUCUCGUGCCUAUGGUAUCUUAUGCUCUUCUCAUCUUCGCAUGAGAGGCAGCAUGUGCCUCCGGCAUCUUAUGCACUCCUCGAUGGCAUUUUGAAGGUCUGAUUAGUUAGCCCUCAUAAGAGACAU
rnacentral:lncRNA from 1 species